AGAGCGGGAGCCCGAAGAUGGGCACUGAGACAAGGGCCCAGGCCCUACGGGGCGCAGCAGUCGCGAAAACUCCGCAAUGCGCGAAAGCGUGACGGGGCUACCCCGAGUGCCGUCCGCUGAGGAUGGCUUUUCCCCGGUGUAAUGAGCCAGGGGAAUAAGGAGAGGGCAAGCCUGGUGUCAGCCGCCGCGGUAAAACCAGCUCUCCGAGUGGUAGGGACGAUUAUUGGGCCUAAAGCGUCCGUAGCCGGCUUGGCAAGUCUCCCGUUAAAUCCAGCGACCUAAUCGUUGGACUGCGGGAGAUACUGUUGGGCUAGGAGGCGGGAGAGGUCGACGGUAUUCUCGGGGUAGGGGUGAAAUCCUAUAAUCCCGGGAGGACCACCAGUGGCGAAGGCUGUCGGCU
rnacentral:rRNA from 1 species